rnacentral:lncRNA from 1 species
GGAGAGGCAAAAUCUGUAAUUAAAAAAAACAUGGAGGAUGAUUGAUGAUAAGUCAGAUAUACAUGCCUACAUCAAAGACUGUCAGUGGUUGAGUAAGGGUUUUCAGACUUGUAAAUUCAUAUUUGGGCACCGACCUAAAAAUAGGGUUGCUCAUCUCAUCUACUUGCUACAGAAGGUCUGAGACGAGGGGAAUUAUGGAAUAUGAGAAGGAAGGUACCUGGUUUUGCAAAAACGACAGUGGAAAGAGAUCGACAGAAGAGCCUAUCCAUUUGAAAUAUGGUGGGUCGUCAUGCAAAUCGAAAAAAUAACGAGCCUCGAGAGGAAUGGUGGG